rnacentral:rRNA from 1 species
UACGAACUGUGCGAACGUUAUUCGGAAUCACUGGGCUUAAAGGGUGCGUAGGCGGUCUGAAAAGUCAGGUGUGAAAUCCCCCGGCUCAACCGGGGAACAGCGCUUGAAACUGACAGGCUCGAGUGAGGUAGGGGAUCACGGAACUUCCGGUGGAGCGGUGAAAUGUGUAGAUAUCGGAAGGAACGCCGGUGGCGAAAGCGGUGAUCUGGGCCUUGUCUGACGCUGAGGCACGAAAGCUAGGGGAGUGAACGGG